CUUAAAGUUUUUCUUCUGUUUCUUUUCCUUUCCUUCUUUUUUUGAGACAGAGUUUCACUCUUUCACCCAGGCCGGAGUGAAGUGGUGUGAUCUCAGCUCACUGCAACCUUCCACCCCCUGGGUUCAAGCGAUUCCCCUGCUUUAGCCUCCCGAGUAGCUGGGAUUACAGGCGUGAGCCAUUGCACCCAACCUCAUUCUUUUUUGGUCAGCCUCUUCUAGCUCUUAACUCAUAGUUCCUGGGAAUUCCUUCAUCAGCAUCCUAAGUUCUCCUUUCCUGACUACAAAGGGAAAUAGUAAAGAGCUUUUUCUAGGUUGUCACUGGAAUAUUCUAGGCCCCUC
rnacentral:lncRNA from 10 species